GACGAACGCUGGCGGCGUGCCUAAUACAUGCAAGUAGAACGCUGAAGGAGGAGCUUGCUCUUCUGGAUGAGUUGCGAACGGGUGAGUAACGCGUAGGUAACCUGCCUGGUAGCGGGGGAUAACUAUUGGAAACGAUAGCUAAUACCGCAUAAGAGUAGAUGUUGCAUGACAUUUACUUAAAAGGUGCAAUUGCAUCACUACCAGAUGGACCUGCGUUGUAUUAGCUAGUUGGUGGGGUAACGGCUUACCAAGGCGACGAUACAUAGCCGACCUGAGAGGGUGAUCGGCCACACUGGGACUGAGACACGGCCCAGACUCCUACGGGAGGCAGCAGUAGGGAAUCUUCGGCAAUGGACGGAAGUCUGACCGAGCAACGCCGCGUGAGUGAAGAAGGUUUUCGGAUCGUAAAGCUCUGUUGUAAGAGAAGAACGAGUGUGAGAGUGGAAAGUUCACACUGUGACGGUAUCUUGCCAGAAAGGGACGGCUAACUACGUG
rnacentral:rRNA from 1 species